AUUGAACGCUGGCGGUAUGCCUUACACAUGCAAGUCGAACGGCAGCAUGAUCUAGCUUGCUAGAUUGAUGGCGAGUGGCGAACGGGUGAGUAAUACAUCGGAACGUGCCCUGUAGUGGGGGAUAACUAGUCGAAAGAUUAGCUAAUACCGCAUACGACCUGAGGGUGAAAGUGGGGGACCGCAAGGCCUCAUGCUAUAGGAGCGGCCGAUGUCUGAUUAGCUAGUUGGUGAGGUAAAGGCUCACCAAGGCGACGAUCAGUAGCUGGUCUGAGAGGACGAUCAGCCACACUGGGACUGAGACACGGCCCAGACUCCUACGGGAGGCAGCAGUGGGGAAUUUUGGACAAUGGGCGAAAGCCUGAUCCAGCAAUGCCGCGUGUGUGAAGAAGGCCUUCGGGUUGUAAAGCACUUUUGUCCGGAAAGAAAUGGCUCUGGUUAAUACCUGGGGUCGAUGACGGUACCGGAGGAAUAAGGACCGGCUAACUACGUG
rnacentral:rRNA from 1 species